CCCAAAUAAGGCAGAAUGUUUAGACUCUCGGAUCCUUUCGGAGUUAGCUCAUCCGACUUUCGACUUUUCCCAACACUGGACCCUGCAGUGGCUGUGGGGGUCAGUCUCCCGCAAUCACCAAGGAUUCCCAGCAUUGAGCAACACUGGUAACCCACCGGUUACUGGUUUUUUAUCUUGCUCUGCUUAGUAAAUGUUUAUCCAGAGUGGGGGGGGGGGGGGGGGGUGACUAUUUCGAGGGAAUAGGUUGUGGAAAUAAAAGUCCCUGCGAGUGACAAAGUCACUGAUUUUUAACGAGUUAUUUCAGAAACGGUGGGGAAAAAAAAUAGUGCACAUAGACGUACAAGUGGAAGAUGGAUGGCAAGUGACACUGUUUAUUAACGAAAACCGAGCACAGAAUUUCUUUGCUCAUAGUGGCUCUACCUACACUCUGAACAUCUGACGACUUCAAACAACCUGCUGAUACACACCCAGGACACCUCUGUGACAUCACAAUAAGAUUCAAGAUCAGGAUGCUGAGAUGUCACUGGAGCUUUUCAGGACUGAGGAAGUCAACGAAGCAAUGCAGAACCAUUCAAAAAGGACCAUGUGAUGCAGAUACAUCACAUGGUCACCACCGCACCUGGCCCACUCAUUUAUCACGAUGUCCUCUGUGUCUGCUCUGCCAAGCAGAGCCUUCAGUGCCAGUGCCACUGCGCACACGAGAUGACUUUGAAAUAUGACUUCCCAUAGCAAUAACUCAUGAAGAGAAAGAUCUGGAAAUCCACUGGUAAAGAUAUUAUCGGACAAUGCUGUGUCACAAAUUGCAUGCAUAAUGUUGGGAUUGGAUCUCACGAUCAGCUUGUGAUAUUUUGUCAGUUGCGCCUCAUGACCCUGAUUAGGAUACAUUUUUAGAAGAUCGAUGGAUGUACUGUACUGUAUAUAUGAAUGUUUAAUGGUAUUCUGUUACUGAUCUCUCUCCCAACCAAUAAAAGAAGCAAAUAUGGGCUUCAAUAUGUCACCAA